UACGAAGGGGGCUAGCGUUGCUCGGAAUCACUGGGCGUAAAGCGCACGUAGGCGGCUUUCUAAGUCAGGGGUGAAAUCCUGGAGCUCAACUCCAGAACUGCCUUUGAUACUGGAGAGCUUGAGUCCGGAAGAGGUGAGUGGAACUCCGAGUGUAGAGGUGAAAUUCGUAGAUAUUCGGAAGAACACCAGUGGCGAAGGCGG
rnacentral:rRNA from 1 species